CACUCUAAGGAAGCCACCCGCCAGGAGCCUGCCCCCUCUCCGGGUGCAGGUGGACAGGGGUAGAUGCCACAAGACCUGGAGAAGGGCCGAGGGACCAUGCCAGCGUGUGGGCGAAAUGGCGGUCCUGCCUCUAAGACACGUAGCUCCAACCGACGCUGCGGAAUAGCCAGAGUGCAGACACCACGCCAAGCCUUGGCCACCCCCGCCCCCCGCAGCUGCUGGCGUCUGGGUCUGGCUGAUCCCAGGGCAGGAGGAGAGGUUGGGUUUCAGGCUUUGUUCUCAGGCAGCCUCGCCAUUGAUUAAGGCCCGAGGGCAGGUGAACCAGCCUGUGCCUCACCCGGGACUGCAUUCCUCCUCCCGCCUGUGCAGGUGGGGCCCCAGAGGAGCUAGCAGAGCAGGGGGGGCCCUCCUGGCCUCUUGAGGCUGCCUCGACUUUCCCAGGCUGAGCUGGUGGAGGUGAUGAUUAACUAGUCAGGGACCAUGACGCUGGUGGCACUUCCCAGGCUCAGCUGACCAGGAGGGCGCCAGGCAGCCAGGAAACGUCUAUUUCACUUUUCAUUUCUUGACCUGUAGCUUUGGUGCGUUGUCCUGCCCUCAGGCGUCCCUCCCGUUCCCCGCCUUGCCUGGCUCAGCUCUGGUGCCCAUGGGCAGCCUUUGGGUGAGGAGUUUGCUCCAGGGAUGCACAGAUUCUGUGUUCAGUGGGACCCUCCUGUCCACAUCCCUGUGGUCACUUCUGCUGGGGUGCACAGCAAGUGGCCUGACCCCCUGGCUUGUGGUCAAGCCAGCUCUGGGCCCUGCAGUGUCCCCAGCCCCAGAGCUCCCCAGGAAGGUCUGGUCCCAACAGCCAAGGGCACUGGGGACACCAGGCUCUGCCCGAGCCCAUGCAUGGGGAGGCCCGGCCUGUCCACUGGGUGCUAGGGAAUGUGUGGACCCAGCCAGGAGGGACAGAGUCCUCACCCAGCCCCACUGCCGCCCUGGAGGGGGCUGAAGUUCCAGUCCUCAAAAAAGGGUUCCCACAGCUCAGGAAAAAGUAGACUUGUGAGGGUUUUGUUUUAAUAUUCUGUUCUUGUCAGUGGACUUUAUUUUUUUUAUUUAUUUAUGUGCGGUGCUGAGAAUCGAACCCAGUGCCUCACACAUGCGAGGCCAGUGUGCUACCACUGAGCCCCAGCCGCAGCCCUGGAGCUGUGUUCUUGAAGCACUGACUUUCGGGGGUCAGUGAAGCGGAGCUGAAAGAGCAGGAGGAGCAGACGGCCUGUCCUGGGGGAGGUCCCCUGAAAAGCACUGGCCGUGGGGAGGACAAAGUAGAGGGCCAGGUGCACCAGGCAGUGUCUGAGGGCGAGGCGGCCUUUGUUGUGGUCUCUGGGAGCCCUGGGGAAUCAGCACAGGGCUGCAGCCCCCUCUGUGGGUGGAAGGUGCUAAAAACUGGAGAAGCCGCCCCAGCCGGCUCUCCAGGCCCAGGCGGCAGGGUCCGGCCUGGGAGGGUGUGCUCCAGGCUGGCCCUUCCUCAGGCCCCAUGUCCCCCAGGGACAGUAGGCGAGGCCACCAGAGGUCAGGGGGCUGAAGAGCCCCGUCCUGAACACUCCUGUCCUGAAGGUGCCUGGCAUUCUCAGUGUCUUCAGGGCUGCUGUCCCCGUCGACUCUGCAGUCGGACCUCAGAUCAGAGGCAAUGAAUCCUACAGCCGGCCAGGUGCUCCCCUGGGCUCCCCGGCGCCCAGCCCCACCCCACCCUCAGACCAGGGAAGGAGAGACAGACAGACGCACCCACACAGGGACACAGGGGCACAGAGGGCAGUGUGGGCCCCAGUGGGAGGAGGCUGUCCUGCUUCUCUGGGGCCACUGCUGCUCCAUCCCUUGUCCUGUUCUCUUCUGGGUCCUUGAGAAGGGCGAGCGGGGACUGGGCAGGGACACGCUGUGGAGUUGGUGUCUUGGAGACAGAGGCUCAUUGUCCAGUGGCUGCAAACCCCCCAGCCUCAGACACACAUACCAACACACAUACCUGGGACCCUGAGGGGGCUGGACCUGAUGCCCAAGUUUUUCUGUGGAACACCUAAAGGGAGUGGCUAGCUGUGACCUGACCCUGACCGGGUGUUGGUCACCUGGCCUGCUCCACCAGCCCCUGCCUCCCGUCCCUUGUGGCUGUCAGCCUCGAGGUGGGACACCUGGCCCCCACCAGGUGCCCACUGGUGUCCCAAGCACAGAGGCCUCUGCCCUGCCCCACCUGGGGCUGCUCCCCAACACAGUGCCAAAGAGGACAUGGCUCUGCCUCAGGCUGAGGAACAGGUGAUGAGCACCCCCAUCAAGUUCCUGCUUGAACCCCAGCCAGGCGGCCCCCAGACCCAUUCGGGCAGCCGUGGCCAUCUUACUGGGCAGCAUUGGAUGCUGUCUGAUCUCUAAUACUGCCUGGUAAUGAUGACGGCGGAGCCCUGCACGCAGCGAGGGGGCCGCCCCCCCCCCCCGUUGUCCCCUGGGGCCUUUUCUCUCAGCUUGUCCACCCUGUCCUACUUGGGUGGCUUCUGAGUGGGCAGAAAUCUGACCUUGGGGAGGCGUCUCUGAGAGCCCUUCAGGCCUCAGGAUGAAGGCUGCCAGCAGCUGCGUGGGGGGGCACCCCAGCACCCCCCACUGUGUUCUGCGGAUUAGGACACUCAGGUAUCCGGGCCCUGCCCCUGGCGCCCGGGCAGGUGCUGCCACCACACCUGGCAGGUGUGGACUGGGCGGAACAAAGGGCUCUGGAGAGCAAAGGCCCAGCCUGGGCCCAGAAAGCCUCACGCCAGGAGCUGCCACCAGAAUUGGGAGCUGUGUAGUGACCCAGGAAGGGCCACUGGGUCCAGACCCCUCUCCCUUCCUGUGUCCGGGGUGGGCAGGUCAGCUUGCAACCGCCAGCCUUGGUCCCAGGCCAGCAGCCCCAGGUCUCCUUGCUCUGGACAGACAGUGUGGCCUCAGGAUCUCAGGAACUCUCUCUUGCUGGCCUGGUCCAGCCCAGACGCAGCCCUGGCCGCUCACUGUACUGGAUCCUCCACCACCAGCACUCCACCUGGCCUGUAGGAGCUGCAUGGCUUUGGGCCGAGGUGCACCUGGGCCUCUGUGGGCAUCUUACCAGACAGUGCUGGAUUUCUUGGCUCAACUCUAACACUGUCUGGUAACGAUGUUCAAAGGUGACCCACCACUCGCCGGAGAUGGCCCGAGGAUGCGCCAUCCUGAGCUCCUGGACUCCAGAGAGGCGCCAGGCGGGGGAGGACCUAUCAGCUCUGCAGCUGGCAAUCAUCGGGAGCUCGCCUCUGCCCAGGAUGGGCCUCUUCAUGCCAGGGGCUCCCCGUGCCACUAUGGAGCACAGGGCAGGCUCCGUAGCACUGCCCCCACUCUUCCCCUAGGCUGGACUUUGGAGUGAUCUGGGUCCUGGAGAGACCACAGGGGUCCAGAUACUGGGCUGGGUGGGGAGACCUUGUGGGCAAUGGGCUGUUACCCACGUGGGCCCACUGGGGACUGGGGAGGCAGAGUAGGCUCCAUUGGCCUAACUCCACACAGAGGUCCCUGCAGACAUGUCCUGGCUGUUUCCUAACUAAGGACAAGGAGUCUCCGUUCCUCCCCCUGGCAAGAACAGGAACUUUGUCCAAAAUCACAAGCCAGGAUUACCCAUUGUUUUAUCUUUUUGAUCUGAAGCCAGGACUGGGGACUCAGGGCUCGGGGCUCGGGCACCCACCCAGCCUGAGCCCCGGUGGCCUCUCCCUAGGGAGGGGCCGAGGGUCUGCCCUGUGUUCUCCGGUUACUUAUUAACCAACUGGGAGCCACUCUGGAAACCGGCAAGCUGCUGGGGGAGUNCACAGAUUCUGUGUUCAGUGGGACCCUCCUGUCCACAUCCCUGUGGUCACUUCUGCCGGGGUGCACAGCAAGUGGCCUGACCCCCUGGCUUGUGGUCAAGCCAGCUCUGGGCCCUGCAGUGUCCCCAGCCCCAGAGCUCCCCAGGAAGGUCUGGUCCCAACAGCCAAGGGCACUGGGGACACCAGGCUCUGCCCGAGCCCAUGCAUGGGGAGGCCCGGCCUGUCCACUGGGUGCUAGGGAAUGUGUGGACCCAGCCAGGAGGGACAGAGUCCUCACCCAGCCCCACUGCCGCCCUGGAGGGGGCUGAAGUUCCAGUCCUCAAAAAAGGGUUCCCACAGCUCAGGAAAAAGUAGACUUGUGAGGGUUUUGUUUUAAUAUUCUGUUCUUGUCAGUGGACUUUAUUUUUUUUAUUUAUUUAUGUGCGGUGCUGAGAAUCGAACCCAGUGCCUCACACAUGCGAGGCCAGUGUGCUACCACUGAGCCCCAGCCGCAGCCCUGGAGCUGUGUUCUUGAAGCACUGACUUUCGGGGGUCAGUGAAGCGGAGCUGAAAGAGCAGGAGGAGCAGACGGCCUGUCCUGGGGGAGGUCCCCUGAAAAGCACUGGCCGUGGGGAGGACAAAGUAGAGGGCCAGGUGCACCAGGCAGUGUCUGAGGGCGAGGCGGCCUUUGUUGUGGUCUCUGGGAGCCCUGGGGAAUCAGCACAGGGCUGCAGCCCCCUCUGUGGGUGGAAGGUGCUAAAAACUGGAGAAGCCGCCCCAGCCGGCUCUCCAGGCCCAGGCGGCAGGGUCCGGCCUGGGAGGGUGUGCUCCAGGCUGGCCCUUCCUCAGGCCCCAUGUCCCCCAGGGACAGUAGGCGAGGCCACCAGAGGUCAGGGGGCUGAAGAGCCCCGUCCUGAA
rnacentral:lncRNA from 1 species